AAUAGAUACCCUGGUAGUCCACGCCGUAAACGUUGGGCGCUAGGUGUGGGGAACCUUCCACGUUCUCCGUGCCGUAGCUAACGCAUUAAGCGCCCCGCCUGGGGAGUACGGCCGCAAGGCUAAAACUCAAAGGAAUUGACGGGGGGCCCGCACAAGCGGCGGAGCAUGCGGCUUAAUUCGAUGCAACGCGAAGAACCUUACCUAGGCUUGACAUAUACCGAAAACUCACAGAGAUGUGGGGGUCCGCAAGGGCGGUAUACAGGUGGUGCAUGGUUGUCGUCAGCUCGUGUCGUGAGAUGUUGGGUUAAGUCCCGCAACGAGCGCAACCCUCGUCCUAUGUUGCCAGCGAGUAAUGUCGGGGACUCAUAGGAGACUGCCGGGGUCAACUCGGAGGAAGGUGGGGAUGAGGUCAAAUCAUCAUGCCCCUUAUGUCUAGGGCUGCACGCAUGCUACAAUGGUCGGUACAAAGGGCUGCGAUACCGCAAGGUGGAGCGAAAUCCCAAAAAGCCGGCCUCAGUUCGGAUUGGGGUCUGCAACUCGA
rnacentral:rRNA from 1 species